rnacentral:lncRNA from 1 species
CAGAAGUUGCAGGCCACAGAGCCUUCUCCAACUUCUCCAGCCAUGACAACUCUUCCAUGAAGAUUGGUCAUCUUACAGAAUUCUGAUGUCACUUGACAGUGAAGCCAUUUGCAUCCAUUCUGCUGAUCUAACCAGGAAAGUUCCAAACUGUACAAAAAGAAGCUGAAGUCCUGGAAUGUGGGUCACUUGCUUGGGACUCCUCUGAGUUGUCAUGAGGAUGCUGUGAUGGGCGGUUUGACCCAGAGAUUCGGGAAUCAAUAGCGGCCUUUAUCCACCGAGUUCCCCUCAGUGCCAAAUCUGAUGCUGGGUACAGAGUCCCCAAGUCUCAAAAGAAGUGGGUCUGCCCCUGAAAGUCUCUGCGGGGGCAGGAGCAGGGGCUGACAUCCUAUACUGAGCAGAAAGGAGAAGACACACUGAACACUGGCAUUCACCUCCUUCUCUGAUGACUGCUGACACAAGGUGACCAACUGGCUCAGACUCUGGCCACCAUGCCUUUGGACUGUCCCCUCAGACUACAGAGUCAAAUAAAACCC